rnacentral:tRNA from 1 species
GGGGUCGUAGCCUAGCAAGGCAGGGCGACAGUUAUGUAACCCGUAGGUCAGGGGUUCAAGUCCCCUCGACCCCA